GGCGCGUUGGUCUAGUCGCAUGAUUCUCGCUUUGGGUCUAGCUCAACUGCGAGAGGUCCUGGGUUCAAUUCCCAGACGCGCCC
rnacentral:tRNA from 1 species